AUUGAACGCUGGCGGCAGGCCUAACACAUGCAAGUCGAACGAGUGGCGGACGGGUGAGUAAUGUCUGGGCACCUGCCCGAUGGAGGGGGAUCACUACUGGAAACGGUAGCUACUACCGCAUACCAUCGGAUGUGCCCCGAUGGGAUUAGCUAGUAGGUGGGGUAACGGCCCACCUAGGCGACGAGCCCUACCUGGUCUGAGAGGAUGACGAGCGACACGGGAACUGAGACACGGCCCAGAUGCCUAAGGGAGGCAGCAGUGGGGAAUAUUGCACAAUGGGCGCAAGCCUGAUGCAGCCAUGCGGAGUGUAUGAAGAAGGCCUUGGGGUUGUAAAGUACUGUCAGCGAGGAGGCGUUACUCGCAGAAGAAGCACCGGCUAACGCCGUGCCAGCAGCCGCGGUAAUAC
rnacentral:rRNA from 1 species